rnacentral:ncRNA from 1 species
UACCUGGUUGAUCCUGCCAGUAGUCAUAUGCUUGUCUCAAAGAUUAAGCCAUGCAUGUCUAAGUACAUGCCGAAACAAGGCGAAACCGCGAAUGGCUCAUUAAAUCAGUUAUGGUUCCUUAGAUCGUUUCUUCCUACUUGGAUAACUGUGGCAAUUCUAGAGCUAAUACAUGCAGUGAGCCCGAAGCCCCUCGGGGCGACGGGUGCUUUUAUUAGACCAAGAUCAAUCGGGCUUCGGUCCGUUUUGUGUGGUGACUCUGGAUAACUUUGUGCUGAUCGCACGGCCACGAGCCGGCGACGUUUCUUUCAAGUGUCUGCCUUAUCAACUGUCGAUGGUAGGUUAUGCGCCUACCAUGGUUGUUACGGGUAACGGAGAAUCAGGGUUCGAUUCCGGAGAGGGAGCCUGAGAAACGGCUACCACAUCCAAGGAAGGCAGCAGGCGCGCAAU